CCCAGGGAAGGGUUGAUGUUGCGGCUUGAGUCCAAAGGCAGACUGAAAGCAGAAUUCCCUCUUCCUUGGGAUCCUUUUUUCUCUUAAGGCCUUCGACUGACUGGAUGAGGCCAACCCACAUUAUGAAAGGGCAACUGAGAUUACCUGGGAGACUUUACCUGCAUGAGAAGACCAUCUUUGUUCAUUUCUGUUCCUCAAGCUGGAAUGUAGUGGCAGGAUCAUGGCCCACUGCAGCCUUGAACUCCUGGACUGAAGGAAUCCUCCUGCCUCAGCCUCCUCAGUAGCUGGGACUACAGCCCUUUUUCUGUCUAUAAAGCCAACCACAUCUGCUCCAUUCAAGGGAACACCUAUUCUGUUUUAUGGAAUGAAGUGGUGCCUGAAUCUAGAAUUGCAAUAAAGCCAAGUGAGAUCUUUA